rnacentral:rRNA from 1 species
CCUUUGUACACACCGCCCGUCGCUACUACCGAUUGAAUGGCUUAGUGAGGUCUUCAGAUUGGCUUCGGAGGACCGGAAACGGCAUCCUAUUGCUGAGAAGCUGAUCAAACUUGGUCAUUUAGAGG